AGGAUAGUAGUUAACUAUAACAUUUGAAUUGCACUCAAAAAGUAUUGAAUUUCAAUCUAUCUUG
rnacentral:tRNA from 1 species